UGGGCAGCCCCAUAUCAUGGCAAUUGCAUAAUGCUAGCAAAGGGCAUAAUCAGAAUUAAAUACCUUAAGGCAAUAAUAAGAGUCCUGCCAUAAGCUUUGUAUAAAAUGCCCUUCAAGGUAAAACAUGACCUUUGUAGAAAACAAACUGUUGGCUCAUUUAUAGUCAAAGAAAACUACUGAGGAAGGGAAUUAAACAGGUUUACAGAAAAUAAAGUGAAGACAAGAACAGCUUAGUUGAAAAGAUACUUUCCAAAGCUAAAAAGAGUGGUGGUUGAGGAAUAAGGGUGAUUUGAAAAUAUCUGAAUUCUUCUGGAGUGUCUUGGCUUGCAUAUGUUUACUCCCAGCUUGAAGGUGGCACCUUCUUCAGGCAGGAACAGAAGUCACAUUUAUUGCAGUCCUGUGCGCAGAUGGCUGUGUGUCCUGGGCCGGCUUUGAACCUGUCAAAAGGGAUAAGGGUCAUUUCAUUUGAAAAAGUACACCAGGGCCCACAAGGUUCAGUGAAACUCAAACCAAAGCUCUGGAUGUUGUAGGAAUUCCUUGGAGAAAUUGUGCACUAGUUAUGAAUCUGUGGUGCAUUGGCAGCUGUGUAAGCAAGGAAAAAAUCAGCCCUGCAAGUAAGUUCAGUUCUUUCAUCCUGUCUGUAAAUCUGUCCCCUUACUACUAGUAGUAAAUCUC
rnacentral:lncRNA from 1 species